rnacentral:rRNA from 1 species
AUUGAACGCUGGCGGAAUGCUUUACACAUGCAAGUCGAACGGCAGCACGGACUUCGGUCUGGUGGCGAGUGGCGAACGGGUGAGUAAUGUAUCGGAACGUGCCCAGUCGUGGGGGAUAACGUAGUGAAAAUUACGCUAAUACCGCAUACGAUCUAUGGAUGAAAGCGGGGGAUCGCAAGACCUCGCGCGAUUGGAGCGGCCGAUAUCAGAUUAGGUAGUUGGUGGGGUAAAGGUCCACCAAGCCAACGAUCUGUAUCUGGUCUGAGAGGACGCCCAGCCACACUGGAACGGAGACACGGUCCAGACUCCUACGGGAGGCAGCAGUGGGGAAUUUUGGACAAUGGGCGAAAGCCUGAUCCAGCCAUUCCGCGUGCAGGAUGAAGGCCCUCGGGUUGUAAACUGCUUUUGUACAGAACGAAAAGGUUUCUACUAAUACUAGGAGCUCAUGACGGUACUGUAAGAAUAAGCACCGGCUAACUACGUGCCAGCAGCCGCCGUAA